rnacentral:rRNA from 1 species
GACGAACGCUGGCGGUGUGCCUAACACAUGCAAGUCGAGCGGAGCUGUCGGAGCUUGCUUUGACAGCUUAGUGGCGAACGGGUGAGUAACGCGUGAGCAACCUGCCCUUGAGAGGGGGAUAACAUCGGGAAACCGAUGCUAAUACCGCAUAAAAUAUGCAGAUGGCAUCAUUGGCAUAUCAAAGGAGAAAUCCGCUCAAGGAUGGGCUCGCGUCCAAUUAGCUAGUUGGCGGGGUAACGGCCCACCAAGGCGACGAUUGGUAGCCGAACUGAGAGGUUGAUCGGCCACAUUGGGACUGAGACACGGCCCAGACUCCUACGGGAGGCAGCAGUGGGGAAUAUUGGGCAAUGGGCGAAAGCCUGACCCAGCGACGCCGCGUGAAGGAUGAAGGUCUUCGGAUUGUAAACUUCUUUGAUCAGGGAAGAAAGAAAUGACGGUACCUGAAAAACAAGCCAACGGCUAACUACGUGCCAGCAGCCGCGGUAAUACGU